rnacentral:misc_RNA from 1 species
GACGUAGGGGGCGAGCGUUGUCCGGAAUCAUUGGGCGUAAAGGGCUCCUAGGUGGUUCAGUAGGUCGACUGUGAAAAUCCAAGGCUCAACCUUGGGACGCCAGUCGAUACUGCUGUGACUUGAGUUCGGUAGAAGAGUGUGGAAUUUCUGGUGUAGCGGUGAAAUGCGCAGAUAUCAGAAGGAACGCCAACGGCGAAGGCAGCACUCUGGGCCGAAACUGACACUGAAGAGCGAAAGCGUGGGGAGCAAACAGG